AACUGUCAAAUGAAAUGCAGACAAAGCAUCAACUUUGGUUUCUUUCUCCUUUAUUAUCAGUCCCUACCUUCUCAUAUUUUUCACUGGAGCUUUGGAAGCUGCCUACAACACCAUGCAUGGCACAGAUGCACACUGAUUCUGCUCAUGGGUCCGGAAGAAAUCACAUGUCAAACAAUCAUAAGCCUGGAGGAAACAGGGCCUUACUGCCUUGCAGGGUGCAUCCUGCCAGGGCUGGCUGGUGAUUUCUCCCUAGAUGUAACAGCAGGUAUGAGGGGGAGGCAAUGCCCUGGAAGCCCCAUGUCCAGGAGCUCCCUUGCACCACCUACCACUGUGGCUUCCCUGUCACCUACCAGCCUCUACCCUGUCAUGCAGAGUCCCAAGGAGUACCUGAAAGCACCCUUCGCAUGCCAGUCCAUCCUCCCAUGAAAACAGGAACAUGGAAGACACCAGCUUCCAUGAGCAGAACCCUGACUAUCUAGCUCAGACGACAACUCCAGCUGAGCAGCCAGGCCAGAUGCCCCCAACUCCCCAGGCAGAGCUCAGCAUCCCACUUACCAUGAUA